ensembl:lncRNA
AUGAAUCAGAGAGGGUUUAUGUUGCAGAAUCUCUCAUUUCCAGCGCCGGAGAAGGACUGUUUUCGAAAGUGGCAGUGGGCCCCAAUACCGCCAUGUCUUUUUAUAAUGGAGUCUGAAUUACACACCAAGAGGUUGACAGCAGGGACUGGGCCCUUAAUGGGAACACCCUCUCCCUCGAUGAAGAAACGGUCAUUGAUGUGCCUGAGCCCUAUAACCACGUAUCCAAGUUCUGUGCCUCCUUGGGACACAAGGAGAAUCACUCCUUCACUCCAAACUGCGUCUAUGAUAUGUGAGUAUGACGCCAGUGCUGGGGUGGCUCUGGGGCCACAGGGCCCUGAGGGGUGGGGGGUGUGGAAAAGAUGUCUCCUGCCCCAUCAGAACCACUGAGUGUCCUCCGCCUCAUGCCACAGGGUGCUGAUUCGAAGCUCAGAACCCAAACAGCCCCAUUUCGCAGCCUUGGCAAGCUAAGAAAUGCAAAGGGCUUCAAAGGGGAGAAAUGCUAUGGAAAUUCCAUACUGAGUGGCUGCUGUCUUUUUGGCUGCCUUCUUUGUCCAUCAACUUUCUCAUUCUGGAAAAUUAAGCAUAGUGUUGUUGGGAAUAAUGGUAAAGCUCAAAGUUAUUCUGCUCCUGGAGACAAUUACAGAACUCUUUCAUGAUGUGGAAGCAGGGAGGAAAAUCAAACCUAAGCCCAGGGCAUGAGGUCUCAGUGUUGGAAGAGACUGGUCAAAUCCGAGUCCCUAUAGUUGGUAACAAAACAGAAUGGCACAUGCCGCAGUAUAGAUGAGACCUGAAAACAUAACACAUGGCAAAAGGAUCCAGCUGCAGAGCGGCACUUGUUGUGUGACGCUGUUUACAGGAAAUGUCCACAAUAGGACAUCUGAAGAGAGUGUAGAUCGUGCUUUCCUAGCACUGGAAGGGGGGCGAUGAGAGGUGUCUGUUGAUGGGUAGAGGAUUUCACUUUGUGGGGAUUAGACUUUGUAAGAUUAGAUCAUGGGGAUGGUGGCACAACUGUUGAAUAUUUAAGCACCAUACUCUUGUCCAUUUCACAAAGGUGAAUGUAUGAUGUGUGACUUAUGUCUUAAGGUGGUCGUUAAAAAUAUUAAUAAUCUGACUCCUACCCUCUGUUGGAGUUUGAGCCUUCUCUUCCAUCUGCUCAUUGAAUCUCUGCUUGGAAACCUCCACAGGUUAGGGGGGAUUGUUAUUAUCUGCAGAGGCAGCUGUCCCAGCAAAUGAAACAGAUAUGAAAUUAGCUUUGGCUCAGAGGACUAGGAAGUUCUUUAUAGUAAGCCCAAAUGACAUCCAGCCCUCAACACUGAUUGUGUCCCUUUCUCUCCUGUCCCCUGUGUCAACCUGUCUUCUACAAGGUAGCCCUCCAAGUAGUUGAGUAGUUUUCAUGUGCUCCCUGGAUGUUCUCAUUCCAAAGCCAAGCAUCUCUGGCUGUUCUCAAAAGCAUACAGCUGGGACUUUGUACCAUCGCCAUCUUUCUCCUUAGCUUAGCCGGAGGAUGCCAAUAAUGCCUGGGAGCUGAUGAGCUGUGUGCAACCCUCUCUGUGCAGCUAUAGCUUGCGGCCCUCAGUCAUCCCACUUGUUAGCAUAGGCAAGAGCAGAUCGUGUGCACUUCAUCUGGAGGAAAAUUGCCAGGAUUUGGAGGUUCCUCAAGAAUGUUCCUUCUCGCGUCUCUGAGAUGGCUGAAAAAAUCAUCUGGCAGCGCCUUGCUCUGCUUGGCAGCCAGUAACGAGCACUGGAGCUGCAUCUUCUGUUUAAAGGGCAAAGGACAUGUGUCAUGUGGAGUGAAACUGACACGGUUACUAACCCCAAGGCACCCAUGGCCAAUGUGGAUAAGGCCAGAGCAUCAUUCCAAGCUGUGCUCAGCUUAACAGCAACCUUUUUAAAGCAAUAGUAACUAAACAGCAUUAUUGCUGCUUAAGCUGCUCCGGCCCGUCCUGUGAUUUCAUUGCAAGGACACGAUCUUUCUCACCAAAAGAAAAAGACCAUGGGACCCAAGAGAAGGUCUCAUUAUGCAAAAUUACAUAUCUGUACUCAGGAGGUCUUGAUUUUGUUGCUUUCUUUGUUUGCAAGUUCAGUGUGACCAAAUAUUAGUCAUCUGAGAUCAUGGAAAGACUACAUGAUCAACAGCCAAAUACCAAUUCAUGACAUUCACUUCUGAAAUCAUUGGCAUUGUUAUAUGUGCUUUAACCUAAAGCAAUACUCUGUAAGCUGUUUUAUGAGGCUACUUCAAAAUGUUCACAGGAUUAAAAGAUAAGCUUGUUUUGUGCAAACAAUUUUGAAAUCUAUGUGUAGUUUUUUUCCUAAUAUAUAUUUUUUAAAUUUUUUUAAAAGAUUUAUUUAUUUUUUUUUUGACAGGCAGAGUGGACAGUGAGAGAGAGAGACAGAGAGAAAGGUCUUCCUUUGCCGUUGGUUCACCCUCCAAUGGCCGCCGCGGCCGGCGCGCUGCGGACGGCGCACCGCGCUGAUCCGAUGGCAGGAGCCAGGAGCCAGGUGCUUUUCCUGGUCUCCCAUGGGGUGCAGGGCCCAAGCACCUGGGCCAUCCUCCACUGCACUCCCUGGCCACAGCAGAGGGCUGGCUUGGAAGAGGGACAACCGGGACAGAAUUCAGCACCCCGACCGGGACUAGAACCCGGUGUGCCGGCGCCGCUAGGCGGAGGAUUAGCCUAGUGAGCCGCGGCGCCGGCCUAAAAGAUUUAUUUUAUUUAUUUGAAAGACAGGGUUAUGAGAGAGGUAGAGACAGAGAGAGAGAGGUCUUCCAUCCGCUGGUUCACUCUCCAUGUGGCCACAACAGCCAGAGCUGAGCUCAUCUGAAGCCAGGAGCUUCCGCCAUAUCUCCCACAUAGGUGCCAGGGAGAUUGGGCCAUCUUCUACUGCUUUGCCAGGCACAUUAGCAGGGAGCUGGAUUGGGAGUGGAGCAGCCGGGACUCAAACUGGCACCCAUAUGGGAUGCCGGCACUGCAGGCUGGAGCUUUAACCUGCUAUGCCACAGCACCGGCCCCUAAUAUACAUUUUCUAUGCGUUCUUCCAGACCACUUCAUAUUCAUGAGUUUCAAAAUAUUUUGCACCAAAAUAAACAUAUCUUCAAUUCUAUUUUCCA